AACGAACGCUGGCGGCAGGCCUAACACAUGCAAGUCGAGCGAACCCUUCGGGGUUAGCGGCGGACGGGUGAGUAACGCGUGGGAACGUGCCCUUUGCUACGGAAUAGCCCCGGGAAACUGGGAGUAAUACCGUAUGUGCCCCUUCGGGGGAAAGAUUUAUCGGCAAAGGAUCGGCCCGCGUUGGAUUAGGUAGUUGGUGGGGUAAUGGCCUACCAAGCCGACGAUCCAUAGCUGGUUUGAGAGGAUGAUCAGCCACACUGGGACUGAGACACGGCCCAGACUCCUACGGGAGGCAGCAGUGGGGAAUCUUAGACAAUGGGCGCAAGCCUGAUCUAGCCAUGCCGCGUGAUCGAUGAAGGCCUUAGGGUUGUAAAGAUCUUUCAGUGGGGAAGAUAAUGACUGUACCCACAGAAGAAGCCCCGGCUAACUCCGUGCCAGCAGCCGCGGUAAUGUACAGUGU
rnacentral:rRNA from 1 species